AGUGAACGCUGGCGGCAGGCCUAACACAUGCAAGUCGAGCGGCAGCGGGUCCUUCGGGAUGCCGGCGAGCGGCGGACGGGCGGGGAAUACACCGGAAUCUGCCCUGUCGUGGGGGACAACCUAGGAAAACUUAGGCUAAUACCGCAUACGACCGACGGGUGAAAGCGGGGGAUCGCAAGACCUCGCGCGACAGGAUGAGCCGAUGUCCGAUUAGCUAGUUGGCGAGGUAAAGGCCCACCAAGGCGACGACCGGUAGCUGGUCUGAGAGGAUGAUCAGCCACACUGGGACUGAGACACGGCCCAGACUCCUACGGGAGGCAGCAGUGGGGAAUAUUGGACAAUGGGCGCAAGCCUGACCCAGCCAUGCCGCGUGGGUGAAGAAGGCCUUCGGGUUGUAAAGCCCUUUUGUCCGGGAAGAAAUCGUCUGAGCUAAUACCCCGGGCGGAUGACGGUACCGAAAGAAUAAGCACCGGCUAACUUCGUG
rnacentral:rRNA from 1 species